UCAUAAACACGACCUCCCAUCCUACCCCUCUUCUCAUAAACACGACCUCCCCAUCCCCACCCUCCUCUCAUAAACACGAACUCUGAUCCCCCCCCCUUUUUUCUCAUAAACACGACCUCCGAUCCCCACCUCUCAUAAACACGACCUUCCCACCUCUCAUAAAAACAUUACACACAAACGGGAAGCUUUGAUAACCAUCACACGCGCAUUCUCGCUAGACUCCCGCGUCAGCCCGAAAUACCAAGAGCGUGUGGUCACAACGAGCGAAGAAAUACACUUCAUCCGGAAGUUUCCUGAAUCUUUGAAGUUCGUGCUUGUUCGAGAAAUUGAUUCUAGCUUUCGUGCAAGAACCUGGCUCGGUAUCCUUUAUACGUCCAAGGUUUCCAACAACUCUGAUUUCUUGGGAUCCCUGUAGUAGCGGUGAUUCAUACAUGAAGUAUUCCUGCCUAGGGUCGGCGGUUCCGCGCCAGUGGUAUGUACGUCAUUUGUGAAAUCAUCACACGAAACAGUCGAGGUCAAAUUUGCAUAGCUAUUGUUUUGGCGGCGCAGUUAUCAACCGAAACUGGUUGUGAACGAUUCAGUUGAAGUCACAUCACUCGAGCGUGGGGGCUAUUUCGUACUCACAUUAUUCAAUAUUGAGCAGGUCACCUGAUAGAGGCAUUCGCAGCUUCCCUCCGCGACUCACGGAUUUUAUACUUUGUUUAUAACGUAAAUCACCACCAGUCU